rnacentral:rRNA from 1 species
ACUCAAAUGAAUAGACGGGGGCCCGCACAAGCGGCGGAGCAUGUGGCUUAAUUCGACGCGACGCGAAGAACCUUACCAGGGCUUGACAUGCGGGGUGAAGCCGUAGAAAUACGGUCCUCCUUCGGGAGCCCGCACAGGUGCUGCAUGGUCGUCGUCAGCUCGUGCCGUGAGGUGUUGCCUUAAGUGGCGCAACGAGCGCAACCCCUGUCCCAUGUUGCCAGCGGGUAAAGCCGGGGACUCAUGGGAGACUGCCGGUGCCAAACCGGAGGAAGGUGGGGAUGACGUCAGAUCAUCAUGGCCCUUAUGUCCUGGGCUGCACACAUGCUACAAUGCUUGCUACAAAGGGUAGCAAUCCCGCAAGGGGGAGCGAAUCCCAAAAAGGCAAGCUCAGUUCGGAUCGGGGUCUGCAACUCGACCCCGUGAAGCCGGAGUCGCUAGUAAUCGCAGAUCAGCAACGCUGCGGUGAAUACGUUCCCGGGCCUUGUACACACCGCCCGU